CGCAAUCGGCAGGAUUUGAACCUACGCGGGAACUCCCAACUGAUGUCUUGGUAGAAUGCACCGUUCUAGUCAGUCCCCUUAACCACUCGGGCACGAUUGC
rnacentral:tRNA from 1 species